rnacentral:rRNA from 1 species
UACGUAGGGUGCAAGCGUUGUCCGGAAUUAUUGGGCGUAAAGAGCUCGUAGGCGGUUUGUUGCGUCGGCUGUGAAAUCCCGAGGCUCAACCUCGGGUCUGCAGUCGAUACGAGCAAACUAGAGUGUUGCAGGGGAGACUGGAAUUCCCGGUGUAGCGGUGAAAUGCGCAGAUAUCGGGAGGAACACCUAUGGCGAAGGCAGCUCGCUGGGACGUUACUGACGCUGAGACGCGAAAGCGUGGGGAGCGAACAGG